UACAGAGGGUGCUAACGUUGUUCGGAAUCACUGGGCAUAAAGGCGCACGUAGGCGGCCCGGUCAAGUGCGGAUGUGAAAUCCCACGGCUUACCCGUGGAAAUGCGCUGCAGACUGACGGGCGUCGAGGAGGUAGGGAGAGCGGAACUCCUGGUGGAGCGGUGAAAUGACGUAGAUAUCAGGAGGAACACCGGUGGCGAAGGCGGGUCUCUGGGC
rnacentral:rRNA from 1 species